ACAGAUCGUUCAGAGUUUGAUCCUGGCUCAGGAUGAACGCUAGCGGCAGGCUUAACACAUGCAAGUCGAGGGGUAGAUAUCUUCGGAUAUUGAGACCGGCGCACGGGUGCGUAACGCGUAUGCAAUCUACCUUGUACAGGGGGAUAGCCCAGAGAAAUUUGGAUUAAUACCCCAUAGUGUAAUGAAUAGGCAUCUAUUUAUUACUAAAGUUCCAACGGUACAAGAUGAGCAUGCGUCCCAUUAGCUAGUUGGUGUGGUAACGGCACACCAAGGCAACGAUGGGUAGGGGUCCUGAGAGGGAGAUCCCCCACACUGGUACUGAGACACGGACCAG
rnacentral:rRNA from 1 species